rnacentral:tRNA from 1 species
GGUGGCUCAGUGGUAGAGUGCUUGCCUUGCAUGCAUAAGGCCCUGGGUUUGAUCCUCAGCACCA